GGUUGUAGCUUAGUGGUAGAGUGCUAGCCUAGCAUAUGUGAGGCACUGAGUUCAAUUCUCAGCACCA
rnacentral:tRNA from 1 species